rnacentral:rRNA from 1 species
GUCUAUUAAUUGUAGACCAGCAUGAAAGGCAAUAUGAGGGUCUAACUGUCUCUUGUAAUAAAUCAAUUAAACUGAUCUUUUAGUAAAAAAGCUAAAAUUUCACCAUAAGACCAGAAGACCCUGUGAAGCUUAAACUAAACCAUUAAAACACAUAAUGACUACUUUCGGUUGGGGCGACCUUGGAAAAAAAAAGAACUUCCAACACAUCAAUUUAUCACAUACACAGGCCCACAAGCCACACAAAUGACCCAGCACAGCUGAUCAUUGAACAAAGUUACUCCAGGGAUAACAGCGCCAUCUUCUUCAAGAGCCCAUAUCAAAAAGAAGGUUUACGACCUCGAUGUUGGAUCAGGACAUCCUAAUGGCG